rnacentral:rRNA from 1 species
CCUACGGGUGGCAGCAGUGAGGAAUAUUGGUCAAUGGCCGCAAGCCUGAACCAGCCAAGUCGCGUGAAGGAUGACGGCCCUAUGGGUUGUAAACUUCUUUUAUAGGGGAAUAAAGGUAUCCACGUGUGGCUAUUUGCAUGUACUCUAUGAAUAAGCAUCGGCUAACUCCGUGCCAGCAGCCGCGGUAAUACGGAGGAUGCGAGCGUUAUCCGGAUUUAUUGGGUUUAAAGGGUGCGUAGGUGGUUUUUUAAGUCAGCGGUGAAAGUUUGUGGCUCAACCAUAAAAUUGCAGUUGAUACUGGCAGACUUGAGUGUGUUUGAGGUAGGCGGAAUGCGUGGUGUAGCGGUGAAAUGCAUAGAUAUCACGAAGAACUCCGAUUGCGAAGGCAGCUUACUAAGCCAUAACUGACACUGAAGCACGAAAGCGUGGGGAUCAAACAGGAUUAGAUACCCAAGUAGUC